rnacentral:rRNA from 1 species
UCCAGACUCCUACGGGAGGCAGCAGUGGGGGAUAUUGCACAAUGGGGGGAACCCUGAUGCAGCGACGCCGCGUGGGUGAAGGAGCGUUUCGGCGCGUAAAGCCCUCUCGGCAGGGAAGAAGGAGGACGGUACCUGACUAAGAAGCCCCGGCUAACUACGUGCCAGCAGCCGCGGUAAUACGUAGGGGGCAAGCGUUAUCCGGAUUUACUGGGUGUAAAGGGGGCGCAGACGGCAGCGCAAGCCAGGAGUGAAAGCCCGGGGCCCAACCCCGGGACUGCUCUUGGAACUGCGCGGCUGGAGUGCAGGAGGGGCAGGCGGAAUUCCUGGUGUAGCGGUGAAAUGCGUAGAUAUCAGGAGGAACACCGGUGGCGAAGGCGGCCUGCUGGACUGCAACUGACGUUGAGGCCCGAAAGCGUGGGGAGCAAACAGGAUUAGAUACCCCAGUA